UUUGCCGAAGGGAAAGUCCAAUAGAAUUGGGAAGUUACAGAGAAUAUUACCAUGGCCCCUGCACAAGGAUUUAAAAAAAAAAAAAAAAAAAGGGCAGUCCGGU